GUAAAUAAAUAUAUAUAUAUAGUUUUUUUUAAAGCUGACUCUUCUUUUAACAGUUUUUUCCCCCAAGAUGAAGCAUAAAAUAACCACUGAGCCUACAGAGAAAUGGUAUUCUUUGUGAUAUCUAAUAUCAGUCUUUCAUACUUCAAGUAUGGACUUUCCUAAGCAGAAAUUCCAGUGCUAAUGGUUGAGGAUUUCCCCUGGCACUCCCCCUUCUGACUCUGACUUAAGGUAGUGAGUCUAGCAGGGCACAUUAGGGACAGUCCCUGUGCAAAGUGGGGAAUUCAAGGCUGGGGGCUGCAUGGUACUGUUGUGAAUGGACAACAACAUGUGCUCAAGUUCUUUCUGAAGAGGGUGAUAAAAAGUGGCAUUUCCUCCUAAACUGGUAUGUGUGUUGCUGUAACGCCUUGAAGCAAUAGAUAAGGGAAGGAGAGGGGAGGGAGUUAAGCAGUGAGCAGAUGGAUGAACGAUUAGAUCAUUUGGAUUAGGAAUGGGGUUUUUUUACACUGAACUCUCUCUUUUCUCAUUCCUUUCUGAUCAGAUUCUCUAUAUACAGAGAGAGUUGAAGCUGCUUAAAAUAGAGAAAAGAAACGUCGUAGCUGGAUUUAGUUGCAAACUAUGAGUACUGAACAAGACAAAGGCUUUAGUCAGGUGAUCAGCUGAUGACUAAUCAUUUAGCCCACUGAGAAGGUACUUCAGAACACAGGAAUGAAAUGCUGAUAGCUCCUUACUUUGGAGAGUGACUGAAAGAAAACAGAUCAUUCAUACAGUAUACAACAAAGGCAUUUUAUAAUCUGAUUUGUCUACCUGUGAUGAAGAAUUUUAGUUAAUGGAAGCUGCAGCAGUCUGUCACCAGGAAAUAUACUGCUUUAUUCAGAAUGGGUCCCAGGAGGUGUUGCGGAAGGGCAAAGGAGGCUGGACAUCUCCUCUACACUCUCACAACUCCUGCAGUUCCUAGGGCUAGGCAACUUUUCCAACUCGCCUCCAUGUGCAAUGACUUCCAAGGGGUAGCUGUGGCAGCUGGGGACUGCUGGAGCACACUGCACUCUGACCAUGCCUUCCUCCCCUUACAAAUCUACUGCGGUAUGGUACGGAGCCAGCAAUGCCAGUUCUACACCCCCUGGAAUUCUCCUACACCAGAGCUUGAAGGCUCUUUUGUGCUGCUAGAAAAACCUAAAGCAGCCUUAUCAGGGCUGAGCAGCCACCCCCUUGUCUUCGUCCUCACCUGCAAAGCAUCUAGCCUGCUAUGA
rnacentral:lncRNA from 1 species